rnacentral:rRNA from 1 species
CCUACGGGUGGCAGCAGUGAGGAAUAUUGGUCAAUGGCCGCAAGCCUGAACCAGCCAAGUCGCGUGCGGGAUGACGGUCCUACGGAUUGUAAACCUCUUUUAUCCGGGAACAACGCGCCUCACGUGUAGCGCUUUGCGAGUACCGUAUGAAAAAGGACCGGCUAACUCCGUGCCAGCAGCCGCGGUAAUACGGAGGAUCCGUGCGUUAUCCGGAUUUAUUGGGUUUAAAGGGAGCGUAGGCGGGAUGUCAAGCGUGCGGGGAAAUGUCCGGGGUCAACCCGGGCCUGGCGUCGGGAACUGGCGUGGUUGAGUAAGCGGAAAGCAGGCGGAAUUCGUGGUGUAGCGGUGAAAUGCAUAGAUAUCACGAAGAACCCCGAUUGCGAAGGCAGCUUGCUGGAGCUGAACUGACGCUGAUGCACGAAAGCGAGGGUAUCGAACAGGAUUAGAUACCCUGGUAGUC